CUAGUCGAUGUUUUUAAUAUAGAGUGAAAGCGAGCUCCAAAAAGGAUUAGAAGUCUUGGGGCCGAAACAAUCUCAACCUAUUUUCAGGCUUUAAGUGGGCAAGAAGCCUGGCUCACUGGCAAGGAGCCAGGUGUGGAAUCCGAGUGCCCAGUGGGUACUUUUCGAUAAGCAGAACUGGAGCUGUGGGGUGAACCAAACGCUGGGUCAAGGUGCUCGAUGACUGAUCAUCAGACCCUGGGGAGGGUCUGGGUGAAAUGAGUGGAUAGAAAAAACGAUGUUAAAAAUAUUUCAUGUAUUAUUUUUUUACUGAUUUUUAGCAGGAGUAUUAUUCUAAGUAGCCUGG
rnacentral:ncRNA from 1 species